GAUGAAGAACGUAGCGAAAUGCGAUAAGUAAUGUGAAUUGCAGAAUUCCGUGAAUCAUCGAAUCUUUGAACGCACAUUGCGCCCCCUGGCAUUCCGGGGGGCAUGCCUGUCCGAGCGUCAUUUCUGCCCUCCAGCCCGGCUGGGUGUUGGGCGCUGUCCCCCCGGGGACACGCCCCAAAGGCAGUGGCGGCGCCGCGUCGGGUCCUCGAGCGUAUGGGGCUUUGUCACCCGCUCGGGACGGACUCGUCGGCGCUGGUCUUCCUCCAGGCGACCCUUCGGGGCUCGUCUUCCUUCGGUUGACCUCGGAUCAGGUAGGGUUACCCGCUGAACUUAAGCAUAUCAAUAAGCGAAGGA
rnacentral:misc_RNA from 1 species